UACAAGAAAAACAAGCGUUGUUCGGAAUUACUGAGCAUAAAGGGCGCGUAGACGGUCCGCUAAGUUGAAUAUGAAAACUCUAAGCUUAACCCAGAGCCUACAUUCAAUACUGGCAAGCUAGAGUUCUGGAAAAGAUAGCGGAAUUCCUAAUGUAGCGGUGAAAUGCGUAGAUAUCAGGAAAAACACCAAUGGCGAAGGCGACUAUCUGGACAGAGUCUGACGCUGAGGCGCGAAAGCUAAAAAAACAAACAGG
rnacentral:rRNA from 1 species